rnacentral:rRNA from 1 species
UACGUAGGGAGCAAGCGUUGUUCGGAUUUACUGGGCGUAAAGGGCGCGUAGGCGGCCAAUUAAGUCAGCUGUGAAAUCUCCGAGCUUAACUCGGAACGGUCAGCUGAUACUGUGCGACUAGAGUGCGGAAGGGGCAACUGGAAUUCUCGGUGUAGCGGUGAAAUGCGUAGAUAUCGGGAGGAACACCUGUGGCGAAAGCGGCGCACUGGACCACAACUGACGCUGAGGCGCGAAAGCUAGGGGAGCAAACAGG